CUGACAGUUGCUCCUCCUCCAGCCAAUCGAGGGGCCUUGCUGCUUGCCUCACCCUUUGCAACACUUGGUGGUAGCUGUACUCAUUCUGCAUCUGUACUUCUCUUCUUUUCAGUACUGGAGAUGCUUAGAGUUUGAACCUAUUGUUAUAUCUACUGAACAGAUUGAUCUCCGUGAAGGAAGAUAUGAACUUUACAAGUCAAGCAUCCUGAUCCAUACAUAUUGAUGCAGAAAUGAGUCCCAAGGGAACGUAUGGUCGUGGCCUAUAGCCUACUUAAGCAACUGUGAAACACUUAAGGUUCAACAAGGGAGAAGAAAUGCAAAUUAAAAAGAUUCUAGGAAACAGAACUUCAGUUGUAAAAGUGCUGAAUUUUAGCAAGAUCUAGAGCAGUGGAAAGUAAAUUCCAUCUUGUUUGUU